GGAAUUGUAGUUCAAUUAGUCAGAUCACCGCCUUGUCAAGGCGGAAGCUGCGGGUUUAAGCCCCAUUAGUCCCG
rfam:Corchorus olitorius cultivar O-4 contig19889, whole genome shotgun sequence.